UACGUAGGGUGCGAGCGUUAAUCGGAAUUACUGGGCGUAAAGUGUGCGCAGGCGGCCGCGCAAGUCGAGUGUGAAAUCCCCGAGCUUAACUUGGGAAUUGCGCUCGAAACUACGUGGCUGGAGUGUGGCAGAGGAAGGUGGAAUUCCACGUGUAGCGGUGAAAUUCGUAGAUAUUGGGAAGAACACCGGUGGCGAAGGCGGCUCUCUGGACCGAGACUGACGCUGAGGCGCGAAAGCGUGGGGAGCAAACAGG
rnacentral:rRNA from 1 species